GAUGAACGCUGGCGGCGUGCCUAAUACAUGCAAGUCGAGCGAACGGACGAGAAGCUUGCUUCUCUGAUGUUAGCGGCGGACGGGUGAGUAACACGUGGAUAACCUACCUAUAAGACUUGGAUAACUUCGGGAAACCGGAGCUAAUACCGGAUGAUAUUUUGAACCGCAUGGUUCAAAAGUGAAAGACGGUCUUGCUGUCACUUAUAGAUGGAUCCGCGCUGCAUUAGCUAGUUGGUAAGGUAACGGCUUACCAAGGCAACGAUGCAUAGCCGACCUGAGAGCGUGAACGGCCACACUGGAACUGAGACACGGUCCAGACUCCGACGGGAGGCAGAAGUAGGGACUCUUCCGAGAUGGGCGAAAGCCUGACGGAGCAACGCCGCGUGAGUGAUGAAGGUCUUCGGAUCGUAAAACUCUGUUAUUAGGGAAGAACAUAUGUGUAAGUAACUGUGCACAUCUUGACGGUACCUAAUCAGAAAGCCACGGCUAACUACGUG
rnacentral:rRNA from 1 species